rnacentral:lncRNA from 1 species
AUGCUUAUCUCAGAUUGUGUCUAUAGGGGUUUUGUUCCAGUGCAAUACAACUUGUCUAUGUCUCUGAUUGCAGAAUGCAGCUUUCAUGGCAAUAUCUAUAGCAAUGGGGAUGUCUUCAGCCCAGACGACUGCAACCGCUGUACAUGUGAACAUGGCAGAGUAGAGUGUAAUGUGAAUCCAUGUCCAUCACAGUCCUGUCAGCAACCACCCACUCCUCAGACAACAUGCUGCCCUGCCUGCCAAACAAGUACCCACAAUCCAUCUCUACUCCCACAGUCUAUGUCUCUGAUUGCAGAAUGCAGCUUUCAUGGCAAUAUCUAUAGCAAUGGGGAUGGUCUUCAGCCCAGACGACUGCAACCGCUGUACAUGUGAACAUGGCAGAGUAGAGUGUAAUGUGAAUCCAUGUCCAUCACAGUCCUGUCAGCAACCACCCACUCCUCAGACAACAUGCUGCCCUGCCUGCCAAACAAGUACCCACAAUCCAUCUCUACUCCCACAUACCUACACCAAUGAAUGUAUAUAUCAAACUGGGCAUGAUUUUUGAGGCAAUAUAUUUAUAAAAAUAUAUUUUAAUAUAUGAAUAUAUUUAUAUAUUUGAAAUAUAUUUAACCUUUAAUCGUCCCUUGAUUAGAGCGAUGUUAAAGUCCCUUGGGGUCAGACAGACCCUAAGGUUUUGCAGAGCGAUUGCAUAAGGAAAUAUAAUAAUUUUUUUUUAUAUAUGACAAACUAUAUAAAAAUUUUUUAAUUUACUUCUCAGCUAUACAUUUAUGCUGUGUUUUUGUGGAUAUUUGGUAGUUUUUUACCUAUUUACUGAACAACUGCUCAGCUCUGCCAUAAAUUGGCUUAUGAAUUUUUUUUUUUAUCCCUUAAAUUAUGACCUUAAUGAAAUAUAAAAGGUUUUUGGAUAUUGGCCCAUGUGUUAGGGAUAGAAUACUGCCAUCUCCAGGUUAAUAGAAAAUCUUUAGGUAUUAUAGUUUAAGAAAGAAAGUUCAAUGACCACAUAUAUCCAGCAGAGGUCCAUUGGGACUCAUUUUCAGUUCAGUUUCAAGUCCAUUUUUCUUUAUGUUUCAACUUCUCCUCACAAAUUUAUGAUAUAUAUUUAAGCAUUCUAAAAUACAUAAAAAAAUCCAUAUUUUUGUAUUUAUUUUUGUUGUUGUCUGAUAUAUUUUGAAUUGUUUGCUUUUGCAAAUUAUUAUACAUAAAAUUGCAGAAAUGUUACGUCACCACUGAAAGACAUGACUGUAGUCACAUACUAUUUAUUUCAGAAAAUUAUUUAUCACAAAUGAUUGAUUUUUUAUAACAAGAGAUGAGUUUUAAAAAUAUAAAUAAAACCAACACAAUACAAAACAAAAC